CAACUUUCAGCAAUGGAUCUCUUGGUUCUCGCAUCGAUGAAGAACGCAGCGAAUUGCGAUAAGUAAUGUGAAUUGCAGAUUUUCAGUGAAUCAUCGAAUCUUUGAACGCACCUUGCGCACUUUGGUAUUCCAAAGUGCAUGCCUGUUUGAGUGUCAU
rnacentral:rRNA from 1 species